ensembl:lncRNA
AGGAACAAGAAAACCGAGAGAGAAUUUACCAUAACGCACUCAAAGUUUUUAUGUUUGAUUUUCAGUUCAAUGGACAACAGUUAUGUGUGGAUGCUGCCAGAGAGGAUGGAUCACUAGGGAGACUGGUAAAUGACGACGAAGUGAACCCAAACAGCAAAAUUAAAGUUACAAGAGUGGAUGGAAGACCCCAUCUGUGUUUAUUCGCAAUCAAAGAUAUUGGUUCAGGGGAAGAAAUCACUUAUAACUAUGGUAAUUCGGAUUGGCCAUGGAGAAGCAAGGUAGUUAUAUAAAGUUUAUAUAAAGUUAUCUUAAGUAGAAAUAGUAGUAUAGAGUGGUUAAAGGGGUCAUAUAAUGGUAUGUUUUUUCCAGUCAGAUUUGAGCCGUUCGACCUAGUGACAUCACUUUAUCGGACGCCACUCUCACGAUUGAUAAUUGACAAGAUGAGACUUAUUUAGACUUGACUAUUUCAACUUGUUCAGUCCUAUUCAAAAUGUUAGAAACUGACAAGUAAACAGAUUUCUGUUGACCUUAUUUAUCAAUAUAAACUAAUAUGAGGUAUAUCUUGAAGUGUCUAAACUCAUAGGUCCUGUGUAAUCCUCACCAUGUAAGGUUCAGACAUUAGCAGGUCUGUUAGUUUUGUGCAUUAGAUAUGAACUCAUGAGAAUGAUAUUAAGUAGUAGUAUUGAGACGCACGGUCCUGUGUAACCAUUAAGGUACAAACUCUCGAUGACUUUUCGUCUCUUGAUUAGUUUAGACUUCCAAAGAGAUGCCAUGUCAGGCUGCUGAUGUGGACAAAUGCAGUUCCUUUGCAGUCAUUCCAAAGACUUCCAAAGAGAAGCCAUGUCAGGCUGCUGAUGUGGACAAAUGCAGUUCCUUUGCAGUCAUUCCAAAGACUUCCAAAGAGAUGCCAUGUCAGGCUGCUGAUGUGGACAAAUGCAGUUCCUUUGCAGUCAUUCCAAAGACUUCCAAAGAGAUGCCAUGUCAGGCUGCUGAUGUGGACAAAUGCAGUUCCUUUGCAGUCAUUCCAAAGACUUCCAAAGAGAUGCCAUGUCAGGCUGCUGAUGUGGACAAAUGCAGUUCCUUUGCAGUCAUUCCAAAGACUUCCAAAGAGAUGCCAUGUCAGGCUGCUGAUGUGGACAAAUGCAGUUCCUUUGCAGUCAUUCCAAAGACUUCCAAAGAGAAGCCAUGUCAGGCUGCUGAUGUGGACAAAUGCAGUUCCUUUGCAGUCAUUCCAAAGACUUCCAAAGAGAUGCCGUGUCAGGCUGCUGAUGUGGACAAAUGCAGUUCCUUUGCAGUCAUUCCAAAGACUUCCAAAGAGAUGCCGUGUCAGGCUGCUGAUGUGGACAAAUGCAGUUCCUUUGCAGUCAUUCCAAAGACUUCCAAAGAGAAGCCAUGUCAGGCUGCUGAUGUGGACAAAUGCAGUUCCUUUGCAGUCAUUCCAAAGGACUGUGUUCAUGAUCUUGUCCCUGAAGAAAUGUCAAGUUUAGAAAAAUGUGUCACAUGUGGCGGA